GAGUUUGAUCCUGGCUCAGAAUGAACGCUGGCGGCGUGCUUAACACAGCAAGUCGCACGAGAACUCUUUAGCUUGCUAAAGAUAGUAAAGUGGCGCACGGGUGAGUAACGCGUGGGUAAUCUGCCUUCAAGCCCGGAAUAACUCCGCGAAAGCGGUGCUAAUACCGGAUGACGUCCCGGAGACCCCGGUCCCCGGGACCAAAGGUGGCCUCUCCAUGGAAGCUACCGUUUGAAGAGGAGCCCGCGUACCAUUAGCUUGUUGGUAGGGUAACGGCCUACCAAGGCGACGAUGGUUAGCUGGUCUGAGAGGAUGAUCAGCCACACUGGAACUGACACACGGUCCAGACUCCUACGGGAGGCAGCAGUGAGGAAUUUUGCGCAAUGGGGGAAACCCUGACGCAGCAACGCCGCGUGAGUGAUGAAGGCCUUCGGGUCGUAAAGCUCUGUCAAGUGGGAAGAACCUGUGCCGUGCGAACAACACGGCGCACUGACGGUACCACUGAAGGAAGCACCGGCUAACUCCGUGCCAGCAGCCGCGGUAAUAC
rnacentral:rRNA from 1 species